GGAUUAGAUACCCCGGUAGUCUACGCCGUAAACGAUGGAUACUAGCAGUUUUGGGUAUCGACCCCCGGAGUUGCGAAGCUAACGCGUUAAGUAUCCCACCUGUGUAGUACGAUCGCAAGAUUAAAACAUAAAGGAAUUGACGGGGACCCGCACAAGCGGUGGAGCGUGAUCUUUAAUUCGAUGGUAAACGAUAAACCUUACCAAGGCUUGACAUCCGAUGUAGGCUCUCGAAAGAGAACUGUGCCUUCGGGANNNNNNNNNNCCAUCAACGAGCGCAACCCUUGCAACCAGUUGUAUUUUUCUGGUAGGACUGCCCCGGUAACGGGGAGGAAGGAGGGGAUGAUGUCAGGUCAGUAUUUCCCUUACGCCUUGGGCUAGAAUCGCGCUACAAUGGCCGGUACAAUGCGAAGCGAAGCAGUGAUGUGAAGCAAAUCGCACCAAAGCCGGUCCCAGUUCGGAUAAAAGGCUGAAACUCGCCUUUUUGAAGUCGGAAUCGCUAGUAAUCGCAGAUCAGCAUGUUGCGGUGAAUACGUUCCCGGGUCUUGUAC
rnacentral:rRNA from 1 species